GAAGUAGUUAAAAAAAUAUAAUAAGGGUUUGUCAGACCCUAGUCGCUGCAAUAGCUUUC
rnacentral:tRNA from 1 species